CUUGCCAUAGGGCACUUUGAUAGGAGGCAGCUUGGUGACUGCUGCUACUAGGAAGUUCAUUAGGACGUCUACACAGCCUCAGCUCUACCAGGGCCUGGCCCAGAAAAUGACUGCAGAGUGAAGGACUGAAUGGAGGGAUGGGGUGUGAAUGGAAGAACGGGUGACUUCCCCCGCUCUCCAGCCUCUCAGGGCCUUUAACCAAGUCCCCUGAAGUUGGGGGAAGGGAAGAAAC